rnacentral:rRNA from 1 species
GAUGAACGCUGGCGGCGUGCCUAAGAUAUGCAAGUCGAGCGGUAAGGCCCUUCGGGUACGACGAGCGGCGGACGGCUUAGUAACGCGUAGGAACGUACCCUAAAAGUAGAGGGAUAGCCCACCGAAAGGUGGAUUAAUACCGCAUAAUCUCUUCGGAGCAAACUUAUUAAGGCUUUAGGAGCGGCCUGCGUACGAUUAGGUAGUUGGUGAGGUAAAGGCUCACCAAGCCGACGAUCGUUAGCUGGUCUGAGAGGAUGAUCAGCAAGACUGGGACUGAGACACGGCCCAGACCCCUACGGGGGCAGCAAUUAGGAAUAUUUCGCAAUGGGGAAACCCUGACGGAGCGACGCCGCGUGCAGGAUGAAUGCCUUCGGGUUGUAAACUGCUUUUAUGGGGAAGAUUAUGACGGUACCCCAGGAAUAAGGACCUGCUAACUACGUGCCAGCCGCCGCCGUAAC